GUGAACGCUGGCGGUAGGCCUAACACCUGCCAGUCGCACGGCAGCACAGUAAGAGCUUGCUCUUACGGGUGGCGAGUGGCGGACGGGUGAGGAAUACAUCGGAAUCUACUUUUUCGUGGGGGAUAACGUAGGGAAACUUACGCUAAUACCGCAUACGACCUACGGGUGAAAGCAGGGGAUCUUCGGACCUUGCGCGAUUGAAUGAGCCGAUGUCGGAUUAGCUAGUUGGCGGGGUAAAGGCCCACCAAGGCGACGAUCCGUAGCCGGUCUGAGAGGAUGAUCAGCCACACUGGAACUGAGACACGGUCCAGACUCCUACGGGAGGCAGCAGUGGGGAAUAUUGGACAAUGGGCGCAAGCCUGAUCCAGCCAUACCGCGUGGGUGAAGAAGGCCUUCGGGUUGUAAAGCCCUUUUGUUGGGAAAGAAAAGCAGCAGGUUAAUACCCCGCUGUUCUGACGGUACCCAAAGAAUAAGCACCGGCUAACUUCGUG
rnacentral:rRNA from 1 species